AGAGUUUGAUCAUGGCUCAGAACGAACGCUGGCGGCAGGCCUAACACAUGCAAGUCGAACGAAGUCUUCGGACUGAGUGGCGGACGGGUGAGUAACACGUGGGAACCUAUCCUUUGGUGCGGAAUAACAGAGGGAAACUUCUGCUAAUACCGCAUACGCCCUAAGGGGGAAAGAUUUAUCGCCAAAGGAGGGGCCCGCGUAGGAUUAGCUAGUUGGCGGGGUAAUGGCCUACCAAGGCUGCGAUCCUUAGCUGGUCUGAGAGGAUGAUCAGCCACACUGGGACUGAGACACGGCCCAGACUCCUACGGGAGGCAGCAGUGGGGAAUAUUGGACAACGGGGGCAACCCUGAUCCAGCCAUGCCGCGUGAAUGAAGAAGGCCCUAGGGUUGUAAAGUUCUUUCACUCGUGAGGAUGAUGACAGUAGCGAGAGAAGAAGCCCCGGCUAACUCCGUGCCAGCAGCCGCGGUAAUACGGAGGGGGCAAGCGUUGUUCGGAUUUACUGGGCGUAAAGGGCGCGUAGGCGGCAUGCCAAGUUGGGGGUGAAAGGCCUGGGCUUAACCUAGGAACUGCCUUCAAAACUGGCAAGCUUGAGACCGGGAGAGGUUAGCGGAAUUCCCAGUGUAGAGGUGAAAUUCGUAGAUAUUGGGAAGAACACCAGUGGCGUAGGCGGCUAACUGGACCGGAUCUGACGCUGAGGCGC
rnacentral:rRNA from 1 species